GCCCUCUUAGCUCAAUUGGCAGAGCACGUUACUUGUAAUAAUGAGGUUAUGGGUUCGAGUCCCAUAGAGGGCU
rnacentral:tRNA from 1 species